GGGGACCGCCCCUGCUAAACGGAGGAAGGAAUGGGCAACGGUAGGUCCGUAUGCCCCGAAUUCCCCGGGCUACACGCGGGCUACAAUGGGUGGUACAAUGGGUUUCUACCCCGAAAGGGGAAGGAAAUCUCCUAAACCCAAUCUUAGUUCGGAUUGAGGGCUGUAACUCGCCCUCAUGAAACUGGAAUCCGUAAUAAUCGCGUUUCAACAUAACGCGGUGAAUACCUCCCUGCUCCUUGCACAAAA
rnacentral:rRNA from 1 species